UACGUAGGGCGCAAGCGUUGUCCGGAAUUAUUGGGCGUAAAGAGCUCGUAGGCGGUUUGUUGCGUCGGCUGUGAAAUCCCGAGGCUCAACCUCGGGUCUGCAGUCGAUACGAGCAGACUAGAGUGUUGCAGGGGAGACUGGAAUUCCUGGUGUAGCGGUGAAAUGCGCAGAUAUCAGGAGGAACACCGGUGGCGAAGGCGGGUCUCUGGGCAACAACUGACGCUGAGGAGCGAAAGCGUGGGGAGCGAACAGG
rnacentral:rRNA from 1 species